rnacentral:rRNA from 1 species
GCUUGUCUCAAAGAUUAAGCCAUGCAUGUCUAAGUAUAAACGACUUUAUACUGUGAAACUGCGAAUGGCUCAUUAUAUCAGUUAUAGUUUAUUUGAUGGUCCUUACUACUUGGAUAACCGUAGUAAUUCUAGAGCUAAUACAUGCAUGCAUCAAACCCCGACUUCUGGAAGGGGUGUAUUUAUUAGAUGGAAACCAAUGCGGGGCGACCCGGAUCGAUUUAUCGAUCAUCAUUCAAGUUUCUGCCCUAUCAGCUUUGGAUGGUAGGGUAUUGGCCUACCAUGGCUUUAACGGGUAACGGAGAAUUAGGGUUCGAUUCCUGAGAGGGAGCCUGAGAAAUGGCUACCACAUCCAAGGAAGGCAGCAGG